UUUUUAUAACCUUUUUGGUUUAAAUGACUUUGUGACGGUCACCUAUACCGGAGUUGCCUUUUUGCUUUCUUUUCUUUUAUUUAUUUCACUAGAUCAUUCACUUAUGUUCAUCGGUCCCCUACGUAUAGGAUGUGUAGGCCGGAGCUGACUGCUGGAAUAAACUACUGAGGACUUAUACUGAAAUGAUGAUUAAGGCCAUGGUAUAUGGGGUUUCGAGAGUGAUUCCUAUAUUCAUGAAGUCUAUGGUGCUAAAACAAUACUGAUGUUUCA
rnacentral:lncRNA from 1 species